CAAAACGCAAAGAUCAGGAGUAGUAAAAGUUAAUUAUUAGGUAAAGAGAGCUGCGGGGUGGUGCGACGCAGUCCAAUGAUACUUUGAACUUGCCUGGGAGUGGUAAAGCGAAAGAUUAGAUUUAAUCUUUUCUCUUGUUUUAACGAUUGACCUACGUUACAAGGUUUUUAAAGUAGGGUUCGAAAAGAGCCAAUAAGAGUGGUACCGCGGUAAGCUAAGGCAUGUCGUCUCUUUC
rnacentral:ncRNA from 1 species